rnacentral:rRNA from 1 species
GACGAACGCUGGCGGCGUGCCUAACACNUGCAAGUCGAACGAGGUCCAUGCAGUGGCAACACUGCGGAAGACCUAGUGGCGAACGGGUGAGUAACACGUGAGGAACUUGCCCCGGAGACCGGGAUAAGCCCCCGAAAGGGGGUCUAAUACCGGAUGUCCUCACCGAGUCGCAUGGCUUGGUGAGGAAAUGGAUUCCGCUCCGGGAGAGCCUCGCGGCCUAUCAGCUAGUUGGUGGGGUAACGGCCCACCAAGGCGUCGACGGGUAGCUGGUCUGAGAGGACGAUCAGCCACACUGGGACUGAGACACGGCCCAGACUCCUACGGGAGGCAGCAGUGGGGAAUCUUGCGCAAUGGGCGAAAGCCUGACGCAGCAACGCCGCGUGCGGGAUGACGGCCCUCGGGUUGUAAACCGCUUUCAGUGGGGACGAACCAAGACGGUACCCACAGAAG